rnacentral:misc_RNA from 1 species
GCUGCUGUUGUGCAAUUCCUCUCCCUUCUCUUCAAAUUUCUUAGACAUUUGGAAACAACUUUGCUCAACCUCUUUCUAGGUAACAUGUAAGCGUCAACUUCGGCUGUCAUGCAAGAGUCUUUGCCUUUUCUUAUACGGAGAGAUAAUUCAACUUCUUGCACACAUUCCUUCAUGUUUGAGAAAAAAAUCUCUUGUGGAAUCACACAAAUCCAACAGCUCCAAAGAUCCAUUGAAUGCAUUUUCUACACGCUGGCUUUGCGUUUCAUGGGAGCAAGAAUGUUGGGCCAGUGGCACUUAUAGCAAAUCAUCAAUACACUCAGACAAAUUCUUUAGGCCAUUCAAUUUGUGGCCUAUUGGUGAGGACUGUGAUGUCUUCAACUU